rnacentral:lncRNA from 1 species
CCCCCCUCCCUUCAUUUGUGGGCCCAUUUUUUUCCAGCGCUGGCCCACAGAGCCUACUUGGGGAGCUGUGCAAUGGGGUCAGGCAUUGCUCCUGGCGGUGGUCCUGCACACCCUGCCCUGCAAGUGCCACCUGCCUCCACCGCCGGGGUUCCUGGUACGUGUGCGGUGCUCACCGGGUUAGGGAAUGCAUCUCGUGCAGCCCGCGCAGCUCCUCUGGGAGCUGGUCAAUGCUUCAGCAGUGCAAGGAAUCAAUAACGCAGUCCAUCCAAGGGUAGGAUAAUUAACUUGUGUUUUUUUUUUAUUUCCUAGGUUAAUAAACUGAAGUGUUGGUAAUUUCAAAGCAUGCCAUCUCUGCCGAUUUCUUCUGCUGGUCCAUGUGACGAUCUUAAAAGGGAGUUGUCUGGAUAUCCAAAGGCACGAUCUGAGCAUGUUCAUACCCUGAAACCAAAGUUUAAGAAAAUAUGGAUGAUGCUACAGCAAACGCGGAGGUUUCACAACAAAAACUGGAAGGCAGCAUUACAAACGCUGAUGAUGGUCGGUGCCUGAUGUUGUACAAAAGCCUGGGGGCCUUGAACAUGAGAGGGAAAGUGCUCAACAUCUGGUAUCCAUGUGAAAGUGAAAAAUCUGAUGCGUGCUGAAGGUCACGGUGACCUGGGAUGCUACGCUGACAUGGCUGUGAAGUCUUACUUUGUGAACAGAUUUUCCAGGACUGGAAAAAAUAAUACUGAAUAGAAAUGUGCCUUGUUCCUCUAAGACCUUAAAAGCACUUUCACAUCAGCUGGACCGGGUGCGUGCUACUGAGAAGUCACUAUCCAUCCCUUUCAUUUCUGCUCUGUGCUUAUUUAUGGGAGGAGAGAGUGAACUCACCUCUGCGGGCUUUUUUCCUCUUCAGGAGAGAUGGAAGAUCACUGUGACGCUUGUGCUUUAUUCUUUAUUGUAUGUGGUUGUGAGUUCCUAAAGGUGCAGAAUUGCUUUUGUGGUAAAUGUCAUGAUGCUCUCCCUCACUUUUUUCAACCUUUUUUUGAAUACACUGCAUUCAAACCUGC